rnacentral:tRNA from 1 species
UGCAUCGGCCGGGAAUCUAACCCGGGCCGCCCGUGUGGCAGGCGAGCAUUCUACCACUGAACCAUCGAUUGU